GUCAUGUCGAAUGACCAGCGGAUAAACUCUCAGGUGAAGAGCCUGAGGCCGGUGACACUCCAGUUCUACUCCAAGUACAUCGUUACGGUGGCUCACAGGACAAGGCUACAUUCCUGUCCUGCCAGAAGAGAAGAGAAACUUCAGUCUUCAUGCAGUUCAACCACACCUGUCAUA